rnacentral:tRNA from 2 species
GCUAGCGUAGCUUAAAAUAAAGCAUAGCACUGAAGAUGCUAAAAUGGGCCCUAAUAAAGCCCCGCAUGCA